AGCGAACGCUGGCGGCAGGCCUAACACAUGCAAGUCGAACGAACUCUUCGGAGUUAGUGGCGGACGGGUGAGUAACACGUGGGAACGUGCCUUUUGGUUCGGAAUAACUCAGGGAAACUUGUGCUAAUACCGAAUGUGCCCUUCGGGGGAAAGAUUUAUCGCCAUUAGAGCGGCCCGCGUCUGAUUAGCUAGUUGGUGAGGUAACGGCUCACCAAGGCGACGAUCAGUAGCUGGUCUGAGAGGAUGACCAGCCACACUGGGACUGAGACACGGCCCAGACUCCUACGGGAAGCAGCAGUGGGGAAUCUUGCGCAAUGGGCGAAAGCCUGACGCAGCCAUGCCGCGUGAAUGAUGAAGGUCUUAGGAGUGUAAAAUUCUUUCAACGGGGACGAUAAUGACGGUACCCGGAGAAGAAGCCCCGGCUAACUUCGUG
rnacentral:rRNA from 1 species